GACUAUGAUUUAAUCUCCAAAGAACCAAAGCCUUUUGUAUUUGAGGGAAAAGUACGUGGUCCUAUUGUUGUUCCUACGGCAGGCGAGGAAACAUCUGGGAAUUCUGGCAAUUUAAGAAAAGUUGUAAUGAAGGAGAACAUAUCUUCUAAAGGAGAUGAAGGUGAAAAGAAGUCUACCUUUAUGGAUCUAGCAAAAGAAGAUAUUAAAGAUAAUGAUAGAACAUUACAACAGCAGCCAGGUGAUCAAAAUAGAACUAUUUCAUCAGUCCAUGGUUUAAACAAUGAUAUUGUAAAGGCCUUGGACCGAAUUACAUUGCAGAAUAUUCCUUCUCAAACAGCCCCAGGUUUUACUGCAGAAAUGAAGAAGGACUGCAGUCUUCCUCUUACUGUCCUUACCUGUGCUAAAGCAUGUCCACACAUGGCUACUUGUGGAAAUGUUCUGUUUGAGGGAAGAACAGUUCAGCUAGGGAAGCUUUGCUGCACUGGAGUUGAAACUGAAGAUGAUGAAGAUACUGAGUCAAAUUCAUCGGUAGAACAAGCAUCGGUUGAAGUACCUGAUGGACCAACACUCCAUGACCCAGACCUCUAUAUUGAGAUUGUGAAAAAUACGAAGUCUGUCCCAGAAUAUUCAGAGGUGGCUUAUCCCGAUUAUUUUGGUCACAUUCCGCCUCCAUUCAAAGAGCCUAUUUUAGAAAGGCCUUAUGGUGUACAAAGGACAAAAAUUGCUCAAGAUAUUGAAAGGCUAAUACAUCAGAGUGAUAUCAUAGAUCGUGUGGUAUAUGACUUGGAUAACCCAAAUUACACCAUUCCAGAAGAGGGAGAUAUUUUGAAAUUUAACUCCAAAUUUGAGUCUGGGAAUCUGCGCAAAGUAAUUCAAAUUAGAAAAAAUGAAUAUGAUCUUAUUCUGAACUCAGACAUAAACAGCAAUCAUUAUCAUCAGUGGUUUUACUUUGAAGUCAGUGGAAUGCGACCAGGUGUUGCUUACAGGUUUAACAUCAUUAACUGUGAAAAGUCCAACAGUCAGUUUAAUUAUG
rnacentral:circRNA from 1 species